rnacentral:lncRNA from 1 species
GCCUGGCCCCUUUCGGCCUCUGCUUUCUUCCCGUGGCUUCUGGAGUCUUCUAGAUGGUAGAAAAUUGCGCCGUGCGUUGAUAUCUCUAUGUAAUCCUGACAUGUGGGCCUUUUUUCAUAUUUCCUGAUAACCUCCUGUAGAAAUAGACAAACACCAAAACUCGUGAAAUUCUGUCAGAUAAAACCCUAAGUCUAGGUGUUGGUUGCAUUUGGACCCUUUUCUUUAUUUAUUUGAUGAUUAUAUUUGGUACUUAAGGACCGUCAACAAUCGGCUUUCAACUUAAGUAAAGGACUAAAAGCACGAAUCUUACCAGACA